rnacentral:rRNA from 1 species
GAUGAACGCUGGCGGCGUGCCUAAUACAUGCAAGUCGAGCGAACGGACGAGAAGCUUGCUUCUCUGAUGUUAGCGGCGGACGGGUGAGUAACACGUGGAUAACCUACCUAUAAGACUGGGAUAACUUCGGGAAACCGGAGCUAAUACCGGAUGAUAUUUUGAACCGCAUGGUUCAAAAGUGGAAGACGGUCUUGCUGUCACUUAUAGAUGGAUCCGCGCUGCAUUAGCUAGUUGGUAAGGUAACGGCUUACCAAGGCAACGAUGCAUAGCCGACCUGAGAGGGUGAUCGGCCCCACUGGAACUGAGAAACGGCCCAGACUCCUACGGGAGGAGGAGGUGGGAAUUCUUCCGAAAUGGCCGAAGGCCGAACGAAGCAACGCGGGGUGGGUGAUGAAGGUCUUCGGAUCGUAAACUCUGUUAUUAGGGAAGAACAUAUGUGUAAGUAACUGUGCACAUCUUGACGGUACCUAAUCAGAAAGCCACGGCUAACUACGUG